rnacentral:lncRNA from 1 species
CGUUGAAAACAAAAUGAUAUUCUUAUUAAUACUAUAUUGUCCUGUUCAUUAGUUUUGAUACUGUCAUCAAAUGCAAUUAGACUAAAAUCUGAAGCAUUUUAAAAAUAUAAACCUCUACUUCAGUAAGUGAUGUUGAGUUUCCUUCCAUUUGUCCUUUAUAGUAAUGACUUCGAUAUUUUUUAGUCGUAUGCUCGUUUCCCUCACUGGAACUGGCAUUUGGACCUUCUCGCCCUACAUUUUCACAGUUAAUGUUGGCCCUUCCUUUUCUGACGAUUUUAAUUGUAAUACUCUUCUCCUGCUUUAUUAUGUUGUAUAUUUGUCUGAAC